rfam:Valsa mali strain 03-8 chromosome 2, whole genome shotgun sequence.
ACCCAUAUGGUGCAGUGGUUAGCAUAUUGGAUUUUCAGACGGCCGUGUUGAAAACCUCCAAAGACCGGAGUUCAAACCUCCGUGUGGGUG